rnacentral:rRNA from 1 species
GAUGAACGCUGGCGGCGUGCUUAACACAUGCAAGUCGAACGGAAAGGCCCAAGCUUGCUUGGGUACUCGAGUGGCGAACGGGUGAGUAACACGUGGGUGAUCUGCCCUGCACUUCGGGAUAAGCCUGGGAAACUGGGUCUAAUACCGGAUAGGACGAUGGUUUGGAUGCCAUUGUGGAAAGUUUUUUCGGUGUGGGAUGAGCUCGCGGCCUAUCCGCUUGUUGGUGGGGUAAUGGCCUACCAAGGCGUCGACGGGUAGCCGGCCUGAGAGGGUGUACGGCCACAUUGGGACUGAGAUACGGCCCAGACUCCUACGGGAGGCAGCAGUGGGGAAGAUUGCACAAUGGGCGCAAGCAUGAUGCAGCGACGCUGCGUGGGGGAUGACGGCCUUCGGGUUGUAAACUCCUUUCGCUAGGGACGAAGCGUUUUUGUGACGGUACCGGGAGAAGAAGCACCGGCUAACUACGU